rnacentral:rRNA from 1 species
AACGAACGCUGGCGGCAUGCCUAACACAUGCAAGUCGAACGAGACCUUCGGGUCUAGUGGCGCACGGGUGCGUAACGCGUGGGAACCUGCCCUUAGGUUCGGAAUAACUCCCCGAAAGGGGUGCUAAUACCGGAUAAUGUCUUCGGACCAAAGAUUUAUCGCCUUUGGAUGGGCCCGCGUUGGAUUAGCUUGUUGGGAGGGUAAAAGCCUACCAAGGCGACGAUCCAUAGCUGGUCUGAGAGGAUGAUCAGCCACACUGGGACUGAGACACGGCCCAGACUCCUACGGGAGGCAGCAGUGGGGAAUAUUGGACAGUGGGCGAAAGCCUGAUCCAGCAAUGCCGCGUGAGUGAUGAAGGCCUUAGGGUUGUAAAGCUCUUUUACCCGGGAUGAUAAUGACAGUACCGGGAGAAUAAGCUCCGGCUAACUCCGUG